rnacentral:rRNA from 1 species
UACGGGGGGGGUAAGCGUUGUUCGGAAUUACUGGGCGUAAAGGGCGCGUAGGCGGUUCGUUAAGUCCUGUGUGAAAUCCCCCGGCUCAACUGGGGAACUGCACAGGAAACUAGCGGGCUUGAGUUCGGGAGAGGGAAGCGGAAUUCCGGGUGUAGCGGUGAAAUGCGUAGAUAUCCGGAGGAACACCGGUGGCGAAGGCGGCUCCUGGACCGACACUGACGCUGAGGCGCGAAAGCUAGGGGAGCAAACGGG